rnacentral:lncRNA from 1 species
AGGAUGGAUUAGGUCACAGAAGAUAUCCGGAUUUGCAUGGAGACGUCUGUGCAGGACAGCCCUUGGGCCCAGCGUGACUUCCAACCGUGAUUCCUCAAGUGAUUCCUGCAACUGUGAUUCCUCACAAGUUCCAGCAGUGCUGCAUGCAUGUGCAGGGGAAAACAAGGAGGCAUGAGGCAAGGAUCACACCCUCAGAAAAUGUUCAGUUUACCAGAGAAGGUAGACACACAGCAAAUAAUGAUGGCACAAACUGAAAGCGAUGUCUGCCACACAAGUAGCCACGAGAAGAAAGGACACAAAUACAAGCAAACACUGUCAGGCCCCCUAAUGUGAACACGACCAUCAGUUUCAGAUCUGUAAGAGAGCUAGGGCCUUUGCCCAAUGUGUGAGAAGAGGUGCAACUUGCUUCCUCUCCUGCAUUCACCUUAGCAGGGUUGUCUUCCGCGCGGCUGAGGUGGCCAAGCUGCUCACAUCCCUGCACCCAGGUCUUGGCCACUACCAAAUGGAGAAGCCCAGUCGACAAAUGCUGUGGCCGGGCAUUGUCACCCCAGCUGCGAGACCUUCUCUCUAUCCAUGGGGAGGGAAUAGAAGGCUUCAUUUAUGCCACCAUAUGAGCAAUAAGAACUUUGGACUGGUUUUAUAAGUGAAUUUGUAAUCUCACAUCCCAAGAAAAAAGUCUUCUGCAGUUUCCAAACCCUUUUAGGUUCACUUGCUUGUUAAUUUUAUUGUGAGAAGAAUAAAUAAAAUCAGAAAUACAUAAAUAAAAAUAUUUUGAUGAGA